AUAACAAUACAGGACUCUUUAGAGGCCCUGUAAUUGUAAUGAGUCCACUUGAAAUCCUUUAACUAGGAUCAAUUGGAGGGCAAGUCUGGUGCAGAGCGACUGACCCGUGCGUGCUGCAUGUGCAAGGUGGAGUUCCAC